rnacentral:rRNA from 1 species
AUGAAUGGGGAUCCACGGCAUUCGGACCACCGACCCAUUAUUGCAGAAUUGAACGCUCAAUCUCCCAUUCAAGUAGAUGGCGAAGGGCCCAAGUGCUUCCGGUUUGAAGCGAGGUGGCUGCAAGAGGAAGGCUGUGCGGAGGUAGUGGAAGCAGCAUGGAAUACGGUGAUUGAUAUGGAGGGUGGUACGGUGGGAGAGGCUCUAAAACGAGUGGGGGCGAGUCUGCUGAAAUGGGACAGGGAGGUGCUGGGAGAACUGAAGCAUAGGAUCAAAUCAGUGAAGAGGGAGCUGGAGAGAUGCAGAAGAGGGAUCCUAAAUCAGCAACAGAUCUCUAAGGAACAUAUGCUCCGGUACAGGCUUGGCCGCUUGGAAGAUCAAUAUAACCUGUACUGGCAGCAAAGAGCACAUGUAAAUUGGCUUAAGUUCGGUGAUCGCAACUCGAAGUUUUUUCAUGCCCAUGCUUCAGAAAGGAGGAGGAUUAAUACGAUUGGAAGG